AAACCCUUUAACGAGGAUCUAUCAGAGGGCAAGUCUGGUGCCAGCAGCCGCGGUAAUUCCAGCUCUGAAGGUGUAUACCACCGUUGUUGCGGUUAAAACGCUCGUAGUUGGAUCUACGUUCGUGGGGUCGGUGUUCUCGUUUGAGUUCUACUGACUACCUGAACUGAAACAGCUGGUUUUCCCUCGGUGCUCUUUAUUGGGUGCCCUGGGUGGCUAGCAAGUUUACUUUGAAAAAAUUAGAGUGCUCAAAACAGGCGCAUGCCUGAAUAGUGGUGCAUGGAAUAAUGGAAUAGGAUCUUGGUCCUAUUUUGUUGGUUUUCGGGAGCCAAGAUAAUGAUUAAGAGGGACAGACGGGGGCAUUCGUAUUGCAGCGUUAGAGGUAAAAUUCUUGGAUCGUUGCAAGACGAACAACUGCGAAAGCAUUUGCCAAGAAUGUUUUCAUUAAUCAAGAACGAAAGUUAGAGGUUCGAAGGCGAUCAGAUACCGCCCUAGUUCUAACCGUAAACGAUGCCAACUCGCGAUCUAGUGGUGUUAUUUAUGACCCGCUAGGGAGCGUCCCGGAAACGAAAGCUUUUCGGUUCCGGGGGAAGUAUGGUUGCAAAUCUGAAACUUAAAGGAAUUGACGGAAGGGCACCACCAGGAGUGGAGCCUGCGGCUUAAUUUGACCCAACACGGGAAAACUCACCCGGCCCGGACACCGUAAGGAUUGACAGAUUGAGAGCUCUUUCUUGAUUCGGUGGGUGGUGGUGCAUGGCCGUUCUUAGUUGGUGGAGCGAUUUGUCUGGUUAAUUCCGAUAACGAACGAGACUCUAUCCUACUAAAUAGCAAGCGGAUCAGCCCAGUCCGCAGUGCUUCUUAGAGGGACAAGCAGCUUUUAGCUGCACGAAAGUGAGCAAUAACAGGUCUGUGAUGCCCUUAGAUGUCCGGGGCUGCACGCGCGCUACACUGAAAGGAUCAGCGUGCAAGAUACCUUCCCCGAGAGGGGUGGGUAACCCAAUCAAAACCUUUCGUGAUUGGGAUAGGAGAUUGCAAUUAUUCUCCUUGAACGAGGAAUUCCCAGUAUGUGUGGGUCAUCAGCUCGCGCUGAUUACGUCCCUGCCCUUUGUACACACCGCCCGUCGCUGCCCGGAACUGAGCCGUUUCGAGAAGAACAGGGACUGCUGUUUGGUGGCCUUCGGGUUGCCUCUUGGCGGAAACUGUUUU
rnacentral:rRNA from 1 species